UACGUAGGUGGCAAGCGUUGUCCGGAAUUACUGGGCGUAAAGGGCGUGUAGGCGGCUUUUUAAGUCAGACGUGAAAUCUCUGGGCUUAACCCAGAAAUUGCGUUUGAAACUGGAAGGCUUGAGGAUCGGAGAGGGUAGUGGAAUUCCCAGUGUAGCGGUGAAAUGCGUAGAUAUUGGGAGGAACACCAGUGGCGAAGGCGACUGCCUGGACGACACCUGACGCUGAGGCGCGAAAGCUAGGGGAGCAAACGGG
rnacentral:rRNA from 1 species